UAGCUUUUAUAUAUAUAUUUGGCAUUAACUUCUUCCACUGAAUAAAGAAACAACAGUCGUAUCCUCAUCAAAAAAGAGAUAUAUAUUCACUCAUUACCUUUUAGUUCAUAACUAUUUAACAGAUGAACAUGGGUAACCCAUUGUGGUCUGUCUUUUGGCUCAUAAUUAUGCUUUGGUUUUCGUUUUGUGUGGCCCUAAUUGGUGCUUUUUUCUACGUGUGGACAUACAUGUUUUCUCAAUUUAGUAAUAGCUUCCGGGGCAUCUCCGAUUUCUUUCUAAAGUGCGUUCAAUUUCCAGGAUAUUGUACUGCAGCCAUGAUUAACUGCCAGCCCAUAUGCUAAACUUCCUAUGAAUUAUGAUAACGAUACGGUUUGGGCAAGAUGAUCCACCCACACUCAAUUGAAAAGUUAAUUCAAUCCAUUAUGCAUAUACUCCUCCUAUUGUUUCUAUACUCGAUCAAUCCCAGAUAGACCAAUGAGACCAAUGUGUUUCCAUUGAAAAAGUCUGCUGAAAGCUGG